CGGAGGAGGACACGGAAGCACAGAAGGGAGAAAAGGCUGGUCCGGGGUCACACAGCCGGGCAGGGACGGAGCCGGGCACGGGUCCUGGGCUCCCGCCUCUCAGCCCAGGGCUCGGCAGGCCAGGGCUUGGGUAGUGGGUGCAACAGGGAGGUGUCCACGCCACCCAGGGGGCCCCGGCGCCUCUCUUUGCUCCUUCGGGAACCCAGAGCAGAGCCCUUGGAGGGGCGACACCUGGACUUGAAUGCCACCCCGCCCUCCCCUUACUGGGUGUGUGAUUUGGCCCAUUUUUUUUACCUGCCUGAACCUACUUUACACGUGUGUAAAAUGGGGCCAAGGAUUCUACUGGAGAGGACUGCUGGGGAGCGGCAGUGUACGGACGAGGGCACCCAGCUUAGAGGCCGCGGAGGAGGCCUGAAGACGGCGCAGCGUGACCGCACGGGGCGUGGCACAAGGGGUUGCUCAGUCACACCGUCCUCCAGUUCCUCCAGAUGCCCCAGGCAUCCCGGGAUACAGAAGGCUCAGCCCUGCCCUCAGGGCCCACCAGGAUGGCAACAAAGCUCAAGGAACACCGCCGCACGGCAGUCAGAGGGGCCGCGCUCCGGCUUCCCUGUGCUUGAAGCGGGAAGUUCUGACCUCAGCCCGAUUCCAGCGCCCUUUGUGACCCAGUCUUCAGAAGUCACUAGUUCCCCUGCCACAGUCUGUUUGCUGAGGCAGUCGCAAAGAGCCGCCAAUUUCACCGGGAGGGAUGCUACCUUUUGACGGAAGGAGUGUUAAAGAAUUUGUCGAUACAUUUAUUUGGCAAGCACCACAAUUACCAAAAAGUACAGAGGAAUUAAUGCUCUGAUGGUGCAAGAGCAGAGGAUUCUGGGACCUCAGAGGAAGAUCCAAGGGAAACAUGGAAAGUAAUUAGGGAAGGCUUCCUGGAAGUGGAGGCAGAACAAAGCUCACAAAUGCAGAAGUGUUGGGGCAAAACCCUCAGAAUUAAGCACAAUUCCCACUAUAAAAAUUGUUUUCCAAAAUAAAAUCUUAUUUAUUCUCUUUACUAACUUCAAAUACAAUACAUGCCCACAAACCCCCAAGUAAAGAUAAAUAAAAAAUACCAACACACAAGUGAUUUUUAAAACACCCAUAAUCUUAUCCACCCAUCAUAACUCCUUGCUAAAUAUUUUCCAGAUGGAUAGGCAUGGAAACCUAUUUUUAAAAAAUAUUAUCUUACUACAUGGUGCCAUUUGAAAUCGACCCCCCACGGGCGUCUUUCCUUAUCCACAAACACACACA
rnacentral:lncRNA from 1 species